rnacentral:tRNA from 1 species
GCCUGAGUGGCGCAAUAGGAUUAGCGCUUUUGACUUCUAAUCAAAGGGUUGAGGGUUCGAGUCCCUUCUCAGGUA